rnacentral:snRNA from 13 species
AGAACGAGGCAGAGGAGCAUCAUGUUGAGGAAGACUGUUGUUCCUGGGCGCGGCUCAUCUUUCACACUCCAGGCGUGCUGACAUUGCGGUUUUCCAAAACAUGAGAAAUCUGGCUGCAUAAUAUGUGGUAGUGGAGGACUAUACUUGUGUUCCUUCUU